rnacentral:rRNA from 1 species
ACUCUUGAGCAAUGGGCGAAAGCCUGACGCAGCGACGCCGCGUGAGUGAGGAAGGCCUUCGGGUUGUAAAACUCUGUCCUCAGGGAAGAAGCAAGUGACGGUACCUGAGGAGGAAGCCCCGGCUAACUACGUGCCAGCAGCCGCGGUAAUACGUAGGGGGCGUGCGUUGUCCGGAAGCAAUGGGCGUAAAGGGUGCGUAGGCGGCCUUUUAAGUAAGGUGUGAAAGACCACAGCUUAACUGUGGGGUUGCAUUUGAAAAUGGAAGGCUUGAGUAUCGGAGAGGGUAGUGGAAUUCCCGGUGUAGCGGUGAAAUGCGUAGAUAUCGGGAGGAACAACAGUGGCGAAGGCGACUACCUGGACGAAAACUGACGCUGAGGCACGAAAGCUAGGGUAGCAAAC